rnacentral:tRNA from 1 species
GGCUCCUAGCUCAGUGGUAGAACAUGUGCUUUGCAUGCAGAAAGUCCCAGGUUCAAUCCCUGGCAUCUCCA